GACGAACGCUGGCGGCGUGCUUAACACAUGCAAGUCGAACGAGUGGCGCACGGGUGAGUAAUACAUCGGAACGUGUCCUAUCGUGGGGGAUAACUACUGGAAACGGUAGCUAAUACCGCAUACCAUCGGAUGUGCCCAGAUGGGAUUAGCUAGUAGGUGGGGUAACGGCUCACCUAGGCGACGAUCCCUAGCUGGUCUGAGAGGAUGACCAGCCACACUGGAACUGAGACACGGUCCAGACUCCUACGGGAGGCAGCAGUGGGGAAUAUUGCACAAUGGGCGCAAGCCUGAUGCAGCCAUGCCGCGUGUAUGAAGAAGGCCUUCGGGUUGUAAAGUACUUUCAGCGAGGAGGCGUUACUCGCAGAAGAAGCACCGGCUAACUCCGUGCCAGCAGCCGCGGUAAUAC
rnacentral:rRNA from 1 species